rnacentral:rRNA from 1 species
AUUGAACGCUGGCGGCAUGCCUAACACAUGCAAGUCGAGCGAGCGGCGGACGUGUGAGUAAUGUAUGGGGAUCUGCCCUAUCUAGGGUGAUUACUACUGGAAACUGUCGCUAAUACCGCAUUCUCUCGCAUUAUCCCAUAUGGGAUUAGCUAGUAGGUGGGGUAAAGGCGCAAAUAGGCGACGAUCGCUAGCUGGUCUGAGAGGAUGACCAGCCACAAUGGAACUGAGAAACGGCCCAGACUCGUACGGGAGGCAGCAGUGGGGAAUAUUGCAGAAUGGGCGGAAGCCUGAUGGAGCAAUGCCGCGUGGAUGAAGAAGGCCUGAGGGUUGAAAAGUACUUUAAGCGGGGAGGCGUUACCCGCAGAAGAAGCAACGGCUAACUCCGUGCCAGCAGCCGCGGUAAUAC